GGGCUCAGUAGUAGAGCAUCUGCUUUGCACGCCGAAAGUCCAAGGUUUAAUCCCUGGCAUUUCCA